UUGUAGGGUGAAAUAUUAGUUAGUCUUCAGACAUGCGGUAGAGUUUUGGAGUUGGUCAAAUGAAGCUUCCUUUAAUCAGCAAAAGAGGCUUUGGGAGGAGCGGUUGGUUGCUAAGCCUUAAAAAGUCAUUUUUACAGGUACAGAAGAGUCAGAAACCUUACGUUGGCUGUACCUCAUUAUGGCACAAGUGCUCUCCCAGCUCUCGCUGCGGACGGACGCGAGUUUACACGGACGGAGAGAAACCCAAAGGAACAUGAAAAGGCUGAGCCCCCUCCUCAAGUGGACUUGGCAAUCCUGCCGGAAUGACCUUCUCGUUUCACGCCUAGGAAGAAGCCUUCCUCCCCAUCCCGCAGGGCUCGGAAUCAGCAGAGAGGGAGGAAGAAGGAGAAAGGAGAAUCCCGCACACGGUAGAGUCAUGUAAGUAGAAAGCGUGGGUUGGAUUGCUAUCACUGAAACUAUUUUACUAUUACUAUAUUCCUAUUAUAGAGGCUGUAAUGCGGGGAUUUAUUCCGUAAGCCUUCGAGCCGAGCAGGAUUUCUCUGCGCUGAGCUGGAGCCCAAAUCCCCGGGUCCUUGGCGCACGUCGGUGGAUUUAAUCAUAUAGAGAAAUAAAGAAGUGAUGCUAAUGAUGAAAAGUCGGACCAAUGAUUACAAAAUAGAGUCAAAACUCGCAGCAGAGAAACAGGCUGGUGGAGAAGGGGAAUACGAGGAGCGCGGCUUUCCCUCCGAUCUGUUUUAAAAGAGAGCUUGAGGGUUUUAGGAAGACGGAGCAUGGAAUUCUGAUGGAAAAAAAUGAAGAAGAGGGAAGAAAAGCGAGUCUGCUCGCCCUCCGAAAGGAGCCGGGCUAGCGGUUUGCUACACGGGCGUCGGCAGCUGAAGAAGAGGAUAAAGCAUCCUCGGGGAAGAAGAGGAUAAAGUAUUCUCGGGAAGCUACAUGUGGGAAGUUAUAGGGAAUCGACACGUUAGGAAAACGCCUCCCGCGAGGCCGAGCCCAGCGCUCACUUACCUGCCCGUGCCUCUCCUCUCUGUCUUCCUUCCCUUCCUCUUAACCACACCAGGGAAAUAAAUAAAUCACGGCAGCGCCUCUCCUCCGCAGAGGAAUCCUUCCACCACUUGUUAGAGCCCAGCCCCAGCUCCGGCUGAUUUGAUUUUUAAAUGAUUACUAUUAUUAGUUAAUCCUAGGCAGUCGUCCCGAUUGAACGUUAGGCUUGAUUGAAAGCGAGAGCUCUGUAAAUUAAUUUUUAACCAAAGAGCUAUUGUGUUAGCAAAGGGGGG